rnacentral:tRNA from 1 species
GGUUGAUUAGCUCAACUUGGUAGAGCGUAUGACUGUUAAUCAUAAUGUUAAAGGUUCAAGUCCUUUAUCAACCU